rnacentral:rRNA from 1 species
GCGAAAGUUACGCUAAUACCGCAUAUUCUGUGAGCAGGAAAGCAGGGGAUCGCAAGACCUUGCGCUGAUUGAGCGGCCGAUGUCAGAUUAGCUAGUUGGUGAGGUAAAGGCUCACCAAGGCGACGAUCUGUAGGCGGGUCUGAGAGGAUGAUCCGCCACACUGGAACUGAGACACGGUCCAGACUCCUACGGGAGGCAGCAGGUGGGGUAAUUUUGGACAAUGGGGCAACCCUGAUCCAGCCAUGCCGCGUGAGUGAAGAAGGCCUUCGGGUUGUAAAGCUCUUUCGGCCGGGAAGAAAUCGCAUGGGUUAAUACCCUGUGCGGAUGACGGUACCGGCAUAAGAAGCACCGGCUAACUACGUG